AAACCCUAGUAGCGGCUCGGGGUUCGCCGGCGCGGCCGCCUCCCCUUCACCGCAUCUUCGGCUGCGCUCCCCUCUGACAACUUCGACUUCUAAUGUCGUCCACGACCUCGCUCCGUCCUCCGAUUCUAUGGCUGCUCCAGCCCGACGCAUACGACCACGUGCAGGUUCUCCGCAUCGACCACGUCGCUCCCAUGCUCAUGGCCGCCUUCCCUUCCCAUUCUCGCAGGAUCUGGCUUCUCCAGUUCGAGGAUGUGGUGGUGGUGCUGCUGCUGCUCCACUACUACAUCACGGCGGAGGUUUAACCGCACCGCCACACUGGUCGCCUCUCCGACGUCUACGAUCAGAAUUUUGAAGAUCAACCAACUCACUGAACCCAUCCCUUCUACAUUGUCCUGAAUUCCAAAUGUCAAAACCUUGUGAGUAUCUUAGUCCAUUUCUUUCUCAUGUCUACUCAUUCUGGGAUUCUUGGCCAAACUUGAUGCGCUGUUUAACUAUGUUCCUGUUUUUUUCACCUAUCCUUGUGUCUUGCAGUAUGCAUAUAUUACACGAUUUUUUAUUAUUAUUGAGCAAUUUCUUUUCAGCCUGAUGUAUUUUUCUUGCAAUUAAAUGUACCACUAUUUUCUUCGUGCGUGUGAGGACGGCCUAUGCCUCCACUCUGCCUCCGACGAGGUGCCACCAUGGAGGCGGAGGGGGCGACGGCGGGAAGGGAGAUCUCCUAGGUCUUCCUCUUCGGGCAGAAGGCGGCACUGUCCUCCGCCUGCUCCUCGAGCGGCAGCGCCGGAGGGGGAGACGGCUAAGGAGCUCCCCGACCUGGCCCUGUUCCUCGCCCAGGUCGUGCCCUUUUACCCGGAUGGCCUGGACGAUUUGGUCAACCAGAUUGGGGGCCUUCGAGACCUAUGAUGUCUAGGGCAACAUGCCUUCUGUCCCGCCCGCCGUCAUCGACUCCAUCUGCAGCUCUGCGAGGGCCCCGAGCACGAGGUCACCUCGGGCCGUCGAGAGCUAGGUAUGGAUAAUUAUGCCCCUCUCUGUAUAUUGUUUAGAGGAUCAAAGUGAUUCCUUCGUCUUUGCAUUGGUGAUGCUUGAUGUGAUUUUCGGCAAUGUUGUGGGGAAAUUUUUGCUCGCAAUUGCAAGUACAUUGUAUAUGAUUGGUUGAUUUUGCAGAUCAUUGUUACUCCAUGGCUGAGAGGAGAGAUUCCUGUUGCAUAGUUAGCACUAUACUAUAAUAGAUCACAUGAUUAGUCCACCUACAAAAGUGAUGCCAUAAACUUGUUAAUUUGGUAUAUGUAAAGUGAGUUGUCUGAAUUUGUGAACAUGUUAUCUCUCUGUUGUUUGCUAAGAAAUUCAACUGUAGCUUUUACUGGCUAGGCUAGUUGAUUCUAUGUAGUUCCCUUGUGUUUGAGAUUUCAGAAUAUAGACAGAGAUUGAGCUAAAUGCCCCAGUCCAGGAGCUAGUUGACAUUGGCACCCAAAGGUGGUAUUUCUCUCUUUGGUCAUGCUCUACUGCUAGACAAUUGAUCACUAUGUGCUAUAUUUUCUUAAUGCUGUGAGAGAAAUUCAGUAUUCAUAUCAAUUGUUUAUGUUGAGGUAGACAUCUAUCGAGGCAUCCUAGCUACUAGCUGAUCUCUCUACUGUUACUACUCUUUACCAUGUGUUGAUUCUUUCUCUUCCCGUUGGUGGAUCAGCCCAUCCAGAUUCAAAAAUUGUUGUGACUGGUUCUGACUAAGCUCCUGCCAUCUACCUGUUUGAUGUUAUGCCCAUAAGAACUAAAAGAUCUAAUUUCUUCAGGUUUGUUUGUGGGAUUUUGAGAGCUACGGCAAUAGUAAAUUGGCAGUACAUGUAAAUACAUCUGGUUCAAGAUUGUUUUGUUGAUUUUGAUUUGGUGACUUUUAUCUUGCUAUAGGCAGUGUCGUGUAGCUCCAGCUGCUGGAUAUGGUUCACCUUGGAGUGGUUCUGAUACACGAGGUAAAUUUGAUGCAAAGA